UCCUCCUGCUCAAAGCCAUUUACAUAGGCCUGAGCCUGCACAACUUCAGAAUACCAUGGCACGUUUUGACAGGCAACCUUCACUCGGCUCAUUUGGACCUACCCCAGGAUUUAGCUAUGGAAUGAACCUGCCUCUAACACCCUUCCAGCUCCAGUAACUUCUCCUCCUGUUCAAAGCCAUUUACAUAGGCCCGAGCCUGCACAACUUCAGAAUGCCAUGGCACGUUUUGACAGGCAACCGUCACUCGGCUCAUUUGGACCUACCCCAGGAUUUAGCUAUGGAAUGAACCAGCAAAGCCUAGCCAGUCUAGCAAUGGCUGGGUUUCACCCUAACCAAAGCAAGUCGCAACAGCAGGUUCCUGUCCAUUCAUAUCUGGGACAGCCACGACCCAUGCAUGAUGGGGGAUUUAUGUUUCCAAAGGAAGAACCCAAGGCGGAACCUAUGUCAGAUCCUGGAUUGGAUCUGUCUAAUGGCUCAUCGGUUUAUCAGCAAUUUAUGAGCAGGUUGCCGCUUGGACCUCAGAUGUAAAUUUACAAAUUUUGCCUUUCCUAAAGAUAAGAAAGUUAAAGAUGUUGACUUUGGUAUUUAAUGGGCAUAACCCCUACACAACGUCCUAUAAUUCAAUUCUUUGAAGUUUUUUGGUCUUUGUUUUUCCUUCUAAUACUAUAUAUCAGCAGCGUUUAUUUG
rnacentral:lncRNA from 1 species